UACGUAGGGUGCGAGCGUUGUCCGGAUUUAUUGGGCGUAAAGAGCUCGUAGGCGGUUUGUCGCGUCGGCCGUGAAAUCUCCACGCUUAACGUGGAGCGUGCGGUCGAUACGGGCAGACUUGAGUUCGGUAGGGGAGACUGGAAUUCCUGGUGUAGCGGUGAAAUGCGCAGAUAUCAGGAGGAACACCAGUGGCGAAGGCGAGUCUCUGGACAUUUCCUGACGCUGAGGCACGAAAGCCAGGGGAGCAAACGGG
rnacentral:rRNA from 1 species